rnacentral:rRNA from 1 species
AGCAGCCGCGGUAAUUCCAGCUCCAAUAGCGUAUAUUAAAGUUGUUGCAGUUAAAAAGCUCGUAGUUGAAUUUCGAGAUCAAAUUGUUGGUCGUGCCUUGGUACGUACUGACAUUAUUGGUUUCUCCCUUCUGAAGAACCAUGAUGUCAUUAAUUUGGUGUCAUGGGGAAUCAGGACUGUUACUUUGAAAAAAUUAGAGUGUUUAAAGCAGGCUCGCGCUUGAAUACAUUAGCAUGGAAUAAUGAAAUAGGACGUUUAAUUCUAUUUUGUUGGUUCUAGGAUUGACGUAAUGAUUAAUAGGGAUAGUUGGGGGCAUUAGUAUUCAAUUGUCAGAGGUGAAAUUCUUGGAUUUAUUGAAGACUAACUACUGCGAAAGCAUUUGCCAAGGAUGUUUUCAUUAAUCAAGAACGAAGGUUAGGGGAUCGAAGACGAUCAGAUACCGUCGUAGUC